GCCGAGAAAGUAACAAACUUUCUGAAAGGAAAAAGACAAUUGGUGGGAACUAUGUAAAGAUGCACAAAAACAUAGGAAUAUACUUUCCCUGUCCAAUUAACAUGUUCAUUUUCUGUAUUCAAUAAAGCUGACAAAGGGUAGGCAAGCAAAAGAGAUACUGUCGUUGGAUGGUGUAUGAAUUAGAGACUUUUGCAGAGGUAUGUAAUCUACAGUUAUUUUGAUAUAAUCUAACUGUGACAGUGAUGGUA